rnacentral:rRNA from 1 species
AUUGAACGCUGGCGGCAGGCCUAACACAUGCAAGUCGAGCGGAUGAAGGGAGCUUGCUCCUGGAUUCAGCGGCGGACGGGUGAGUAAUGCCUAGGAAUCUGCCUGGUAGUGGGGGAUAACGUCCGGAAACGGGCGCUAAUACCGCAUACGUCCUGAGGGAGAAAGUGGGGGAUCUUCGGACCUCACGCUAUCAGAUGAGCCUAGGUCGGAUUAGCUAGUUGGUGGGGUAAAGGCCUACCAAGGCGACGAUCCGAAACUGGUCUGAGAGGAUGAUCAGUCACACUGGAACUGAGACACGGUCCAGACUCCUACGGGAGGCAGCAGUGGGGAAUAUUGGACAAAGGGCGAAAGCCUGAUCCAGCCAUGCCGCGUGUGUGAAGAAGGUCUUCGGAUUGUAAAGCACUUUAAGUUGGGAGGAAGGGCAGUAAGUUAAUACCUUGCUGUUUUGACGUUACCAACAGAAUAAGCACCGGCUAACUUCGUG